rnacentral:rRNA from 1 species
UACAGGCUGCCGGGAAUACUGCAGAGCUAGGGAGUGGGAGAGGUAGACGGUACUCGGUAGGAAGGGGUAAAAUCCUUUGAUCUAUUGAUGACCACCUGUGGCGAAGGCGGUCUACCAGAACACGUUCGACGGUGAGGGAUGAAAGCUGGGGGAGCAAACCGGAUUAGAUACCCGGGUAGUCCCAGCUGUAAACGAUGCAGACUCGGUGAUGCCCUGGCUUGUGGCCAGUGCAGUGCCGCAGGGAAGCCGUUAAGUUUGCCGCCUGGGAAGUACGUACGCAAGUAUGAAACUUAAAGGAAUUGGCGGGGGAGCACCACAAGGGGUGAAGCCUGCGGUUCAAUUGGAUUCAACGCCGGGAA